rnacentral:rRNA from 1 species
AUGAACCUCACUGGUAUCAAGAUCCAAGAGAUGGUGAGGAAUACGAGGGAGAGACUGGAGGCCGAUUUCUCCAAGCUUGGAACCAAGAUCCACAGGUUCCCACGAGGCUUACGAGGGGUCAACGAGCGCUACAUCGUCCCGAGCUUCGUGUCCCUCGGCCCGUACCAUCAUGGCUCACCGCACCUGCGGGAGACAGAGGAGUUGAAGCACGCGGCAGCCCACUACUUGUGCGAGAAGUCAGGCCGCUCCGUUGAGGAAGUCUAUGACAAGAUCCUCUCCAUCGGCACUGAAGCCCGCAGCUGCUACGCCGAUGGUGCAGUGGCGAAGUUCACGGACGCUGAAUUUGCGGUAAUGAUGUUCCUCGAUGGUUGCUAUCUGCUGCUCUAUAUUACUAACGAUCCUGGAUGUGCUUUACUGUUAAAUCGGAUGACCAUGUCCACAGGGCCUUGCAUGGCAAGGGACAUCUUUCUGCUGGAGAAUCAACUCCCUUGGAUGGUCCUCGAGGCUCUUUUGGAGAUUGUGACACCGUCUCCAGUGUGCAAUUUUAUUGUUCGUUCGGCAAUAUAUUUCGAUAUCAUCCCACGUCCAUCAAAUACAAGGGUUUCUAUGGAUGAACUCGAGAGGUACAGGCCGCCACAUCUCCUUGGUCUCCUCCGAUACUAUCAGAUCGGCAAUAUGAUUGCCGAAGAACGUACCAGCAAUGUCCAAUUCACCUCAUCUGGUAGUAGUGCCAUUGAGCUCGCAGAAAUCGGCAUCAAGCUAACUGCCAGCAACAAAACAUAGUUCGCUGACAUGAGCAUCCAUAGUGGCUGCAUCUUCAGCCAGCUCUCCCUGAUGCCAUUAUUCAUAAAUGACUUCACUGCUUGCUGGCUCGUCAACUUGGCAGCUUACGAGGCGUGUGUGUCCACCGGAUGGCCAUCCGAUGGCUUCGUCAUCAGCUCCUACAUCUCCCUCCUGGCGAUGCUCAUGGACAAGGAAGAGGACGUACACGAGCUGCGAGCGAAGCACCUCCUUCGCAGCUUCAUCAGCGACCAUGAUAUGCUCGUUUUCUUCAAGGGCCUGGCUCGCGACCUGCGCCUUGGCAGUCGCUACUACGUCAUCCCGGCAAAGAUCGACAAGUUCAAACGUGAAAGGCCCGUGAGGGUCGCCGUACAUAAGUUCGUCUACAACAACUUCAAGACGAUUGUCACCGUGCUCUCUAUUGUUGGUGUGCUCGCGGGUAUCUUCAGAACCUUGAUGAGUCUCAAGCAGCAUCAGCCGUAG